UACAGAGGUCCCAAGCGUUGUUCGGAUUCACUGGGCGUAAAGGGUGCGUAGGUGGUGAGGUAAGUCGGAUGUGAAAGCUCGGAGCUCAACUCCGAAAUGGCAUUGGAAACUACCUUGCUCGAGGGUUGGAGGGGGGACUGGAAUGCUUGGUGUAGCAGUGAAAUGCGUAGAUAAUCAAGCGGAACACCAGUGGCGAAGGCGGGUCUCUGGACAGUUCCUG
rnacentral:rRNA from 1 species